CCUACGGGAGGCUGUAGUGGGGAAUAUUGGACAAUGGGGGCAACCCUGAUCCAGCCAUGCCGCGUGUGUGAAGAAGGCCCUCGGGUUGUAAAGCACUUUCAGUGAGGAAGAACGCCUGGUGGUUAAUACCCAUCAGGAAAGACAUCACUCACAGAAGAAGCACCGGCUAACUCCGUGCCAGCAGCCGCGGUAAUACGGAGGGUGCGAGCGUUAAUCGGAAUUACUGGGCGUAAAGCGCGCGUAGGUGGCUUGAUAAGCCGGUUGUGAAAGCCCCGGGCUCAACCUGGGAACGGCAUCCGGAACUGUCAAGCUAGAGUGCAGGAGAGGAAGGUAGAAUUCCCGGUGUAGCGGUGAAAUGCGUAGAGAUCGGGAGGAAUACCAGUGGCGAAGGCGGCCUUCUGGACUGACACUGACACUGAGGUGCGAAAGCGUGGGUAGCAAACAGGAUUAGAUACCCCAGUAGUC
rnacentral:rRNA from 1 species